rnacentral:lncRNA from 1 species
UAACAAACAACCUAAAAUUAAAAAAACAACGUUUUGAAAAAAAUGAUUAAGGAAAAAAAAAAACCGCAACUCCUAAACCGCAGUCUCAGCUGCGUUUCCCUCCAACGCAUGCGUUUCCCUCCAACGCAGUCUGAGCUGCGUUUUCACCCAACGCAGUCUGACCUGCGUUUUUCGCCAGUAGUUUGAGCUGUGUUUCUCCCAUGCACCCCCCAAACCAAACCAACCGCAGAUCCAUCAGCGUUUGGUUUCAGACGCUGAUCGAGCUGUGGCAUGCCUUAACCGCGAAACGACUUGCGAUUCCACAACGCACCCCAAAACCAUCCGUUGUUCGUACUGCGGCAGGGGUUAACCGCAGUACCAUUUGCGGUUAACACUUCACGGCCUCUACACAGUUCGUACACACACAGAAAAAUUCAUCUUUUACCAGAUCUACAUCUACGAGAGUAGCCAGAAAAAACACGAAGAACUGCUACCCAGCUAUGCGCUGACAGCCCAUGCCCAACAUCAAGAUAGCACCAGGUUACGAGCUACACUGGUUGGAGGGAGGGGGGAUGCACUUGUUGGAGGGAGGGAAGGAGAGGAAGACCGGUCAAGGGAAGGGAAGAAUGAAAAUAUGGGGGUGUAGGGUUUUGUCUGAGUUUUUUAUAAAUCCAAUGAAUAGGGUACAGUUGGAAUCAGGAUGUACAGCAAGGAUUACUCAAACACAAAAUGCAAGUAAAUUAUUGUAAUAGGGAAUCCCAAAUGUUUAGGUAGAACAUAAAAACAAAUUAUCAGAAAUCGAAGCAGAUAAUUGGACUAAUUUGGAUGGGAUGCACCAGACCCUUGCAAAAGUGCAACGCAAGGACGAUGCUUGAGAAACCAAGUAGCAAGCUACUUCAAUGGCCCUCACCCUCAAAAAAUAAAUUUAAUAUCGUGUGAACUAAUAGUCCACAUAUCAGAUAUUAAACUGAUAAGAACAGAUACUACACUUGAUCUUAGCCAAAAGGCCGAGAAAGGUAUGCUUUUAGAAUUAUAGAUAUUCAAAUUUUAUAUCUGCUGAUUAAGUUGCCUGUCAAUGCUCUGACGAGUGUGGGCCUUCAUCAUUUGUGCCAAUCCCUAUUUCUGGCUACAGAGUUUAUUUAAGAUUUAAAAAUAUGAUUGGACUGCAUCAAAUAUUUGAUCAACCUGAAAAACUAACAGGAGUUUAUAUCCACUAACAGGAAUUAAAGACAACAGAAGGCACUAUAUUUAUCCUUGCUCUCGUUGGUGUAUUCACCAUGUUAAUGCAAAGGCAGCUUGCUAUAUUGGUAUGUUCAAUAUCAUAUCUUGCUGUGUUAACGUAAAUGCAGCUUGUUGUAAACACAGAUUUUGGUUUACGUAGACUUCUAAAAUUAGCUCGAGCAGGUUAUGAUGAGAAAGCAACGAUUUAGUCAG